rnacentral:rRNA from 1 species
UACGUAGGGGGCAAGCGUUGUCCGGAAUCAUUGGGCGUAAAGCGCGUGUAGGCGGUUCGGUAAGUCUGCUGUGAAAGUCCAGGGCUCAACCCUGGGAUGCCGGUGGAUACUGUCGGACUAGAGUACGGAAGAGGCGAGUGGAAUUCCCGGUGUAGCGGUGAAAUGGCGCAGAUAUCGGGAGGAACACCAAUUGCGAAGGCAGCUCGCUGGGACGUCACUGACGCUGAGACGCGAAAGCGUGGGGAGCAAACAGG